rnacentral:rRNA from 1 species
UACAGAGGUCUCAAGCGUUGUUCGGAUUUACUGGGCGUAAAGCGCACGUAGGCGGAUUCUUAAGUCAGGGGUGAAAUCCCGAGGCUCAACCUCGGAACUGCCUUUGAUACUGGGGAUCUCGAGUUCGGGAGAGGUGAGUGGAAUUGCGAGUGUAGAGGUGAAAUUCGUAGAUAUUCGCAAGAACACCAGUGGCGAAGGCGGCUCACUGGCCCGAUACUGACGCUGAGGUGCGAAAGCGUGGGGAGCAAACAGG